rnacentral:rRNA from 1 species
CCUACGGGAGGCAGCAGUGGGGGAUAUUGCACAAUGGGGGAAACCCUGAAGCAGCGACGCCGCGUGAGUGAAGAAGGAUUUCGGGAUGUAAAGCCCUUUUAGUAGGGGAGAAAAUGACCGUACCUGACCAAGAAGCCCCGGCUAACUACGGGCCAGCAGCCGCGGGAAUACGGAGGGGGCAAGCGUUAUUCGGAUUUACUGGGUGUAAAGGGAGCGUAGUCGGGUCUGUAAGUCUGGUGUGAAAGCCCGGGGCGCAACCCUGGAACUGCAUUGGAAACUGUGUGACUGGAGUACGGGAGAGGUAGGCGGAAUUCUUGGUGUAGCGGUGAAAUGCGUAGAUAUCAGGAGGAACACCGACGGCGAAGGCGGCCUGCUGGACUGAAACUGACGUUGAGGCGCGAAAGCGUGGGGAGCAAACAGGAUUAGAUACCCUGGUAGUC